rnacentral:rRNA from 1 species
AGAGUUUGAUCCUGGCUCAGAAUCAACGCUGGCGGCGUGCCUAACACAUGCAAGUCGAGCGAGAAAGUGGAGCAAUCCAUGAGUAAAGCGGCGCACGGGUGAGUAACACGUGACUAACCUACCCUUGAGUGGGGGAUAACCUAGGGAAACCUGGGCUAAUACCGCAUAAUACCUACGGGUCAAAGGAGCAAUUCGCUUAAGGAGGGGGUCGCGGCCGAUUAGUUAGUUGGCGGGGUAAUGGCCCACCAAGACUGUGAUCGGUAUCCGGCCUGAGAGGGCGCACGGACACACUGGAACUGAAACACGGUCCAGACUCCUACGGGAGGCAGCAGUGGGGAAUUUUGCGCAAUGGGGGAAACCCUGACGCAGCAACGCCGCGUGGAGGAUGAAGUCCCUUGGGACGUAAACUCCUUUCGACCGGGACGAUAAUGACGGUACCGGAAGAAGAAGCCCCGGCUAACUUCGUGCCAGCAGCCGCGGUAAUAC